rnacentral:rRNA from 1 species
GAUGACGGCCUUCGGGUUGUAAACCUCUUUCACCAUCGACGAAGGUCCGGGUUCUCUCGGAUUGACGGUAGGUGGAGAAGAAGUACCGGCCAACUACGUGCCAGCAGCCGCGGUAAUACGUAGGGUGCGAGCGUUGUCCGGAAUUACUGGGCGUAAAGAGCUCGUAGGUGGUUUGUCGCGUUGUUCGUGAAAUCUCACGGCUUAACUGUGAGCGUGCGGGCGAUACGGGCAGACUAGA